ensembl:lncRNA
CCCCUCUCCCCCUGCUCCUCCCCUUUCUGAUUUAAACCCUCGCAGCAGUGGGCCCUGGACCCGCCACUGCGUGCUGUUUCUACGCAGCUGUCCCUGUUUGCCCCCAUCAACUGCAGGUUAGUUCUUCAGCUCGUUGUCCACACAGCUCUCUUCUGCCCCUAUUUGUUCAGAAUAAAACGUGUAUUUUUCUGAUUUUUAAUUUGGAAACCUGAUUGAAGCUCCUAGUGGCUUCUCCUUCAAGUUGGGCUGCCUUUGCUGAUGGGUUGUUUCCUGAGGUCUUGCAGGCAUCCUGACUCCCGGUCUCCUUCUGGUCAUGGUCAUUUCCUUUGCUCCUUGGGCACCAGGCUCCUACUUACAAAAGUUCCAGUUGUUUUGGGGGGUCACUCAGCAGUCGUCUUGGGCCAGUGUUUCUCUCGGGGAAGAAUGAACACUAGCCCACCCACUGGAAGCCCUCCCACUUCUGUCCCUAAGCCUUCCUUAGCGGGGCUUCAAAGUGUAGGCAGAGAAGACCCAAGCCAGAAGACAGGCAGGCGGACAAUGUGAUGCUUCCGGCGAGUUCUGGGGGCUCUCUAUCCUGUGCCUGAGCUAGCUGUCUAGACGGCUCUCCCUUGGUGAGUUGGGGGUGGACCAAAGGGCCUCUGCAGAUCCCUGUGGACCUGUGGAGGUCACACUCGCCCAGUGGCAGUGAGGGGCACAGCUGUGUCCGUCUGCCUUUGGCUCUGCUGCCUUCUCUCCCAAGAGGAGAGGACCUCUGGACAUCCUUUCAGAAGGAUGCUCCCAGCAAAGGCGGCAAAGGAAACGGGAGGAGGGUUCUUCAGUUUGGGGGUGCCUGGGGUCUCCGCUUCCGGUUCCCGACGAUUUGCAGAUUCUGCCCCCGGCCUGGCAGGAGUCCUCAGGACCUUCAUUUGUUCCUGAAUUCGUAGGUGAGUUAUCCCGGAGUUCGUCUCUGACAGAUUGGCCCCUGGUGCAGUGUUCCUGCGCCCACUCUGGCGCAUGUUGUCUGGCAUAGUCUGCGUGUGCACAUUCGUACAGGAAGCAGUGUCAAGCUGCCAGGCUUACUCUCAGAACUGCUACCCCAGUCUACAAGUUGACGUAAAAUUUGAGCCUAUUUUUACACAAUUAGUUGAAGGCAAUAGGUCUGCUUCUAUGCAAACCCACAUUUUCGCUCGGCAGCUUUAGGGGAGAGGCUGUGCACGAUGCCAUCGCACCAUUAGUAAUUGGAUGUGGUGGCCUUGCAUCUCAACAAACCUCCUACAUGAGUGGAAAUUGCUACUGUGCUUAGUCCUGGUUACAGAGAAAGACGUUUCUAGGCAUGUGGGUGCCAUUCUACUCUGGGGCUUAAUUUUAUGUAGGUGGAAUAUUAGAGUUUGUUAUUCAUUGGGGCAAAUCUUGUAUUUUGCAACAAAAGGCAAAACGUUAAGUUAAAUAACAGUAAGGAGGUUUGGAAGAAUAUCAACUUUUUAAAAGGGUCUUCUGCUUUCCAUUCCCAGGAGAAAGAGGUUUCCUUUCUCUUUAAAAUAUUCAAAAUCAAAAAAGCAUUAGAGAGAGCCCUAGUUUUGAACACCACUUUCCUUGUUGGCAUGUUCUCUCCGGAAACGGUUUAAGGCUUUCUACUGUUGGUGUUUCGUUAAUUCCUACUGUGUCAUUUAAAAGAAAUAUUAAGUGAAUCUUUUUUUAAAUCUAAAGGUAAAAUGUAUUCACUCUCAAGUAAUGUUUUACAUUAUACUGUUUAUUUGGAAUCAGAUACUGCCUUUGUUUUUACUGAAAAAUGCAUUGAGACAGUUUUAGAUAAAAGGUUGGCACUAACAUUGUAAAAUAUUCCACAGGACAAGCAUCACAGGGAUGCAUUUCAUUUUAUGGAUUUUCAGGAGGUAGUUUUUCUUCCCGUGCCAGCAGACCCUCGGUUCUGGGUCUGUCCUUAGCAAUGUUGGAGGCGCUGAUGGCUGGAGUGGUGGCGGGAUCUGCCAUUCUGGCUCCGGCUGCAUUUCCAGCUUUUGCACAUAGAUGGCACUUUUGACUCACCCAAGAACCCGGAAAACACAAUGGUCGCCUGUAAGUCAGAAUGUGUUUGUUACUAUUCACGUGGAGGCUGGAGAAAUUAAAAUUAAGCCUCUCUCCGAAGACAGCACUAUUGCAUCUCUCUUAAAUGCUAAACCUUAAACACACAACUACCCAAGGUAUGAAAAUUGGUGCAUUUUAUUAUACGUUUUUAUGAUUUUUUAUUGUGCGUUGGUGCAUGGUCGUCUUUGAUCCGGAAGAGCAGAAGGAAAUGGUGUAAGGAAAGUUGUAUUUGAAAUAGCAUUGUGUGGGGCUGUGAAUGUUUUUAGUGACUAAUUUGUAGUGAAAGGCCCUUGUGAAUAUCUUGGUUUUCUCCCCUUCCCCCAUCCGCACACACGUGUGGGCAGGCGCACGCACACACACACACACACAGGAGGCGUAUAGCCCCUCACGCACACAGAGGGGGAAAAAUCCACUGUUGUCUUGCAAGUGUUACUUAUCAUAUUAAUUAAAAUCUGGUGACACGAUAACACCACCAGCUGUGUGGGAAAGCGAGGGAAAUUAACAAACGUUUGAUUUGUUGUCUUGCUAAUGUGACACUUAUUAUACAGGUCAGAGGGAAACAAUACCUCAGCCAAAAUAUGCUAAUGCGGCGGGAACUGUUGCAGUUGUAAAAACAUUGGUGUUUAUUAUAAUAAGGCAAAAGAGCACGUUACCUUUAAGAGAAUGAUGUGCUCUUUGAGUCUAAUGGCAUAACUCAGUUUUUAAACACUAAGUCGUUAGAAGUAAAAUAAUGCAUUAAAAACUUUUGCUGUGCAAGUUUUGAAAAAAUGAUAUGAGAACUUAUUUAAAACAAUUUGGGUUCAAAUAAAAGACAUUUGCUGUUUAGUUUUCAAAGUAGUUUUAUUAGGAUAAGAAACAGUAAAUUCUAUAGAGCUUUAGCAUAUUGCAAACGCUGUUGUGUGCUUUAUCCUCGUCAAUUAGUCAAAUUUAUAAAGAUGGGGUGGUUUAAAAUCGGGUUAUACCGAAGGAGAAAUAAUAAUGUUUAUUUACUCAUCUUGGAGAUUAUGAAUGCUUCUACUAAGAGUAUAAGUCGAAAUUGUUUUUAAAAACAGUGUAAACAGAAGAGUAUAAUUUUAAGGAAUUUGUUACCCCUACACGCACCCUCUCUCCCGCUCGGCUCCACCCCUCUAAUCCUGCAAUCAGAAACAAUUGCACACUUUCUCAAAACACUGGGCAAACUUUUUUCAUCCCACUCUGAAUCAGCAGUUAGAAUCCGUGUCUAUAUGUCCGUGGAGGGAAGGACAUGCGAAAUGCUUCAGUUCGACGUAAUUCAUAUCGUGUAUUUCUUGGAGAUGCUAUUCAGCAUUUUGCUUCUACGUUCUCACAGAAUAUCUGAUUUUUACCUCCCCAAAGGGUUCUCCGCCUCAGUGCUUUUUCCUCUUAGCUCUGUAUCUUCUCCAGCCUAGACGAGACUUCUCCCUUCCUCCCCUCCUUCCUCUCCUUCUGGUGUUGCGAUCAUGCUACUGAAAUGGGGUGUAGGAAGUUGAGCAUUUGUUUGGCCAUCUUUGACAGCAGAACAGGUAGAUUUUGCCCAAGAGAACGCUAAUCAUUUGGAAUCGAAUUUUGAGUGAGCCCUCUAGAUCAAAGGUCAGAUGGAGGGAUAUGAGGCAGCAGGGACACCUUCUCAGGUGGGAGCAUGAUGGUGGGAGCCCAGGAAAGGUUAGGGUGGAGGGGACGCAACUCUGCAACCCAACAGCCGGAGCUUGUGUGGAGGAUCAGAACCUCAGCAUCCCUCAGGGCUCCGUACGACGGAAGUGUGAAUACUGUCCUUAGGAUGGGUCCAGAAGCCAAGUGAUGAUGGCGUGCGUUUACCUGCGAACCUCACCCGCAAACCCCAACACUCGCCUUUGGGUCUCAACCGUGAUGAAUGCAGUUUCUAACUUGCAUCACUGUAGGUUCUGUUGGCAGAGGAAAAAUUGUUUUGUAUGUGUCUAUCACAAUAUCUUGAAUGAUUCCAUUCAAAAAGCAAAGGGUUGAUAAUUAAGUCAAAAUGGCAAUUUCCGAAUGCUGAGGACUCUGGUAUACCGAGGCUCGGAGUUGUAACUUUAGAAACGCUGCAGUGACAGUUUGCUUUCAAGGUAUGUAUUUGAGCUGUAUCGAGAGAGGGACCCUUGUCAUUGAUUAAAUCUCUGUAAACAAACACAUCUAUUUCUGUGUGAGAGCAAAACACGAUUAGGUUCAAAAUAUGAUACUGUGUACACAUGUUCGCAGUCAUUCAGAGGUAAUUUUCGACUCUGUUCAAAUUGACAGAGCGUGGAGAGGUUAGCUCGCCAACAAAACUUCCUUUUUUCUAAAUCCAGUGGCUUUAAUUAAGUCUGCGUGACAGAACUGGCAUUUCAAAACACAAAGACAUUUAACUCUGACAAAAAAUAUAUAGUUUAUUUAGCUUUGAAUGGAUUUUUUUCCUGCUUUGAAGAGCUUGUUUUCUUCCUGAACAUUAAAUUAUUAAUGAAAGAGUGAAAGCAAUAAAUUAGGACAAUAAUAAACGUUCGAGUCGUGGCCGCCAGAUACACAUUCGGAGCAGAAGCACCUUUCCAGUGUUCUUUGGGUUUUCCCCGAGCCCCGGGCGAUGGGUGCAGCUCCAGCCAGCAGGCUCGCGUGUAGAGUUCCCAACUCUCAGCCCUCUGGAGCAGAGCCACCAUCCAUUCACGGCGUUAGGGAGGACCGAAUCAAUCACAGAGAUAUCCAGAGGACUGUUUGAAUCUAUUAAAUAAAUGUCAUCCAAAUACCAUUAUAUAUAUUAAAAAAAACACUUAACGUUGAUGAAAAAUCAAGGUAUAUUAUUCUAUUAGGGUAAGAUGAUUGAACUGGAAAACACACUGUUGCAGCAGCAUUAUUAAAUAGUUUCGUGUCAGAUUCCUCAGCGGUCCCCUUUCCUCCCCAGCAGGAAGCCAGAGAAAAGGAAAACAUCUUUGCAGCGGCCGUUGGCGUGAGCUGAGUCUCGCCAGCAUCGGGAGACAGUCUGACUUGUGGGACUGUGCCAGAAUUUGUUAACGGAUGUGAAAGCCAGCGGCUUGUUAAUGUUUUCUACUUUAAAAAAAUAAUUACAAAUCACCCCAAGGCAGGAGGUUGAGACCCUGGACGUCCCUCUGGUUGCCUGGCGUGUGUACUUUUUCAGAGCGCCCAGCCAUGAGCCGUCAGGAAUGUUCUGGGGCAGGAAGCGUGCAGAUUCACCUCAGAAAGGCAGACCCCGGCGUGUGGUCACCAGCCCUGCGACAGAUUAGCACCAUUGUGGCUGGAUGUGCAAGGCCCCCGAGAAUACUUGUAACCAGUACAUUUGCAUCGUUUGUUUACACUUUUUCUUCAAAUUGGGAAGAAAAAUAGCUCGCCUCUGGCCGGUUCCUGCUCCGAUCUGAAAGAAUUUUGUCAAUUGGAGAGAGCUCGCUUUUGUGUGUGUGUGUGUCUCUUUAACAUUCUCCCCGUUCGUUAACUGCCCAGCCUCACUCAGCUUUUCAAGCUUUCCCUCCUCCACGCAACUCAAUUAAUUGCCGAGAAGGCCACCCAGUCUUUUAGGGGCAUUGUUCCACACUCCACCUGGCUCUUCCGGGAGGCGCUCAGAACAUUUCUUUGAUAUCUGGCUACUGUACCUCUUUCUAAUUACAUUAGUCUGUGUAAUUGUGCUCACAUUCAUUUUAAUUAUUCUUUGCAUAAGACCUAAAACAGUUCAUUCUCACGACACAGCAGAUUUUGUUGCGGUUUUCAAUCUGCCUAAAGAAUUUGGAAAACUAUUAUGUGAAAAUAGACAAUAUUCCCAGGCUUUUAUCCCCACCAGGGUUGUCCUUCAGACGCAUAUCCCCCUGGAACCACAGACCUCUCAUAGGCUGCAGCACUUGACAAUUCUUUCAUUCACGCUUUCGGUUUUGUCUUGAUCCCAUUAAAAAUAUAUAUAUAACAUAAGUCCAAGCUAUGUAGAUGUUCUUUUGUAUAUAAGAAAUAUAAAUCUCGUGUAAUUAAUUGAGACAGGUGUUGCUCACUUACUCCCUUACUCAGGAGUGAGGUGAGGAAACAUUUCUGGCCUUCUAAAUGUUAGCUUUUGCUGCCUCAUCUGCCAGGUAACUCCCCAGCCCUGAACUAUCUUCUUUCAUUUGGACGGUAGUUAAGAUGAGCUUUCUUCUGGUUGCCCUGCUCCUGGGCCGUGGCAACAUGGCAUUAACAUAUUAUAUAUUUUCUCUAAUUCUCCACAAAUACUGGGGAGGGUGUGGUUUAGAGAAAAGAAAUUCAAAACAUACCGUUUGGAUUUUAAGGACAGUUUUUGAAAAAGAGCAAUUUCCAUAUAUCAACACUUUUUGGUGUGAUCCAUGAAACAUUUUGAUAUGAUUUAGCAAAAACAGUUUUUGCAUCAGGAACGUUAUAGCUACCUCAUCUGCAUAUGUAAAGAAUGCAAAAUGGAAUCACAUUAGGUAUAAAUUCAAUGCAAAAAAAGACGCCCUUCGUUAAUGCAACAUUAUGGUAGAAAAUUCAAAUGCACAAAAGUCAUAAAAUUCAGCGUUCCGGUUCUCACAGCAAUUACAGCUUGGCCACAUUUGCAUAGUUCGGCAUUAUGUAGCUGCUGCGGAGGUUUUCUACCUUAAGAGGGGAGUGCUCUGCUCAGCGCCACAAUCGGUGGGAAGGAGGGACUGGCGACCAUGAAUAAAUCGUGAAAUGUGAUUUUUCUCAGUUGAAUCACAGUUUGUAUUUCCAGACUGAAACUGAGGGUGGAUGGAUCUUUUUUUAUUAGGAGAAAUGAAAGUUACGGUGCUGAAGAGAAUAUGCACCGCAGGGAAAAUGCAGGAGCUGCUCCCUGUCCCAGAGAACGUGCAGCCUGCUCUGGGUGGACAGCUGGCCUCCGCUCUCAGACCAAAGUGAGCGACCGUUGUGAUGCUCUGGGCAGGUCCUUGCGGAAGGCUGCCAAUUGAUAGAUAGUUUGGAAGCGGGUUCGUGAGGCCCACUGCAUUCUCGCGGGGCCCACAGCGCAGCCCAUGUGGGUGCUGUCCUUGCCCCGGAUUUGAAACUUCUAACGUGCUUCAGUGGGGCGUAGCAAUAGGCUGUUAGGAUAACGUGUUCCAUCUCAUUUGGUCUUAAUCCUGCUUGUGUAUUUCCAUUUCUAACUUGAGGAAACUGAGACUCGGGGUCUAUGGACUAUUCCACGCACGUUAUCCCGCCCCCCCACCGCCGGCCAGGAUUUGAACUUGGGGUUAUCACUUCUAGUUUGGGCUGCAAGAUUCUCCCUCUCUCUCCUCCUGCUUUUGCUGGGCUGCCUCCAUCAGCACUUCCGCCUCCUCGUCCUCCUCCAGCAUCGUCAUCCAUUCGGAUGGUGCUGUUUGAAAGGCGUUCUUUCACCGGCCUCUGCUCCAGCUCCGGGGUAACUCCAAGGUGUUCCUCCUCUUGCUUUCUCACUGAGGCUGAAGGGCUGCCUUAUCCAAGGUCGGGGCUGAAGCAGCCUUGAGUCUCGGAGAUCUGACUCUAAAUUCCUUCACUCUUGUAGCUUCCGGCCUCCUGCUUGCAGGUGAUGGGACCUCUGUCUCCAGAGGUGGACGCUGGAAGGCUCUCAGCAGAGUUUGGUAGGGGGAUGGGGCAAGGGACCUGCAGUGUUUAAACACCUGUCGUGCGUGGACUUGAGCCCAGCCCCUCAGAAGGGACCACAUAACCACCCUGGAGAAUUUCAUCUUCUUUUACAACUUCCCUGAGGUGCCAAGAGGGUGAAUCUUCCGAGGCCUCCACCCCGCCAUCAGGGAGAAGCUGGGAUCCCCCGGGCCACGCAGGUGACUGAAAUGCCUCCGGAGCCCUGCCACCUCAGGACAGGUGCUCGUGACAACUCUCUCCCUGGAAGGAAACUAAGCUCCCCAUUAGUAGAUUAAGGGCACAGAUGAGGACGCAGAGGGCGAUGCAGGGCACAUCCUCUCGCUUCUGGGGGAACUGCUUUCAGCUCAUGCCGAGGAGCCGACGGCUACAGGGUGCCCUGCUUCUGUCCCCAUUUCCCCCUGCAUCUCGGCCCAUUCUAGCUGCAUGCUGUUGGGUCCUUGACACCAAAUCCUUGCUCCAUGCUCAAUUCUGAAGGGCGUGGGGGAUACCUACUGCCCAGCGUGCACAGAGUCCUUCAUUCAGAUUCUUCAUGGUGCCACAUAAUCACAAGCAGACUUUCCUUUGCUGAUUGUGACUGCCUGGCACAGUGUCUUUAAUGCAUUAUUCUUUUGGCAAAGACUCACCUUCCAGGCAGGAGACAAUGCCGUCCUAGGGUCAGACAUCCCUGACUUUCUCCAAAAUUAGUAGCUGACAAGCAACGAGAUCCUGAUGCCCUGGUUCUAAGACACAGAGUCCAAAGGCCACCUUCCAAUCCAUCUCACGGCCCCUCGUGACCUCUGCUACCUCUGUAGCCAACAAAAAUUCUUUUAAAAAUUGUGUGCAGCUCCAGUGGCAGUGUGCUGAGAAAGGACCCAGCAUCGGUGGACGAUCUUGAGUGAGCCACGUAACCUCUCUCUGUAGCUGUUUCCUGGUUAAAGACAAAAGAGUGGAGAUGGAUGCUACCAGCCUCGGAGAUCUUCAUGCCCACAGCUGAGACCCGUCCCGGGUGGGUGCUCUUGGAGAAUGCGUCCAGGCGUCAGAAUAGGGGUGAGGCGAGGUCGUUUGCAAGCCGUGGGAAUCGGGGCUUGUGACAGCAGGCGGCGUGAGUAAGGGAGGUGGAGGGUCAGUUGGUCCUGUGACAUCUGAGAGCACAGCCAGGACUCAGAGGCAGGCUGGUCUCUACAAAGGGGGCCGUUUUUCCCUUCUCUUCUCUCCACCCUCCAUGGGAAGCCACAAAGAUCUGAAGACUCGCACUCCACCCCAGCUCUCACCCUGGGAGAGAUUCUGUAUGUGCAUUUUUGUUUUAAAAAUUAUCAUACAAUAAAAUUAGGUUUUUGUCCCUUUUGGUAUGCAGUUCUAUGAAUUUUAACACAGGUAUGGAUUCAUAUGAUCCCCACUAUAACCAGGAUAUAGAACAAUUCCGUUAUCUUCAGACAGCCUCAUGCCGGCCCUCGAGUCUCACCAAUGGUGACCAACUGUCCUAGUUUUCCUGGGAUGUGGCACUUCCAGCAUUAAAACGCGGAAAGUUCCAGGGCAGCCAAGGCAGGUUGGCCACCCCACACGUCACCCCUAACCCUGGGAACAACUGUCUCUUUUCCAUCAUUAGUGUCUUUUCUAGAAUGUCAAGUAAGUUGGAUCAGCCAGUAACCUCUGAGGCUGCGACUCUCGCUCAGCACAGUGACUCUGAGGUUCGUUGGGUGUCCAGCACUUGGUGGUUCCUCUGAUGGCUGAGGGGUGCUCCACGGUGCAGAUAUGCCACUGUUUGGGUAGCUGUUGACUUGUGUCAGGACAUGUGGAUCGUUUCCAGCUUGUGGUUUUCCACAAAUAAAGCUGCUAAGAACCUUCGUGGAUAGGUUUUGAGUGGACGUAGGUUUUCCUCUCUCUAGGAUGAUGGUCACAUGGUUGGCGUAUGUUUAACUUUAUAAGAACAUGCCUGGCAGAGUGGCUGCAGCUUUUCACUUUCCCAUCAGAACUGUAGGAAUGUUCCAGUUGCUCCGUCAUUUGCUUUAAACACAAGGGGCCUCUUUGGCGCUCCUUCCUCCCGUGGUGCUCAGCUCGGGGCCACUGCCCUGGGGGCUCUUUGUGAUGUCUGGGGACAUUUUCGUUGUCACAACUUGUAGGAGGCUACUGGCAUCUUGUGGGUAGAGGCCCGGGUGCUGCUAAACACCCUCCUAUGUGCAGGCGGCCCCCCAACAGGGAGUCGUCCACCCAGGAUGCCAGCGAUGCCUGCUUGAGAUGAACCUUGACUGACCAUGUGCAGCCCAGCGGCCCCACCAUUUUCCCCGGGUGUGAGACAUACAUUUGAUCCUCUCACGUGAUUAUCUGCCUCUCUCAUUUGGUCAGUCCUGCAAGGUUUUGAGGGAAGAUGGUUAUGUUACCACACAGAGCUCCGGGCCCCACUUGUCCACCCCCUUUGUGAGGACAUGGGGAGCCCACGUGUCAUCAGCACUGUGAGAGGGCUGCUGUUUUCGUUCUGUUUCAGAGACCAGGAUGGAGAUAUACAGAGAGAUGCACACAGUGCUACCAUGAGUACUGAACGAUGCAGUGUAUCAAUGGGGUCCGGUGGGGAGCAGCCUCACCUGGCACUCACGCCUCCCACCAAUGGUGCCCUAUCCACGUCACUACAGAUGCGGGACCACGGGGCUCCCUGGACCUCUGAUCUGGCCUCCUCCAGCUGAGGACCCUUGCCAUCUCAAGGGCUGCUCAGGGAGCCACCUGCCCCUAUGUCCCCGCAGCUCCCAGCAACUCACAGAAGCUGGGAGGGCUCUCUCCCCAACUGUCUUCUUACUUUUGAGGCUCCCACAUUCUGCUAGCUUCUUCACAUGCCGAAAAUGCUGCAAACCUCCUGCACGGUCCUCUCUCUGCUUCUUUGACCUCCACCCCCCACCCACCCAAAGUGGGGGUCUUCAUGGCAGGGCCAGGUGGGGUCCUUCCUGCCACUGGGUCCUGGGCCAGAGCACAAGUUUCUGCAGCCUCUCCUCCUCCCGUCAGGCCUCCUGGUCCACGCUCACUGCUGGGCAUGGUCGCUGCCCUCUCUCGUUCUGUCCAACUGCCCGGCUGCCAUCUCUACAGCCCUGUACCACGCUGGACUGCGGGCUGUGCCACCUGCUGCCCACCGCCUUCUGUCAAGGGUGUGCGAGAUGCCACCAGCCCCGGGGAGCUUCAGUAUCUAAAGAAACAGACUGCUUUGUAAAGUGACAGGGGAGUGGCGCACAGUUCCCGUGAUUUUUAAAAUGAAAAUUGCACGUGGGGGGACGUGGUGCUGGGAAUUGUGUGCAGCCUGUGAGGGACCUGUGCCCUGUGGGGAGGGGGCUCCGUGGGGAAGGUGCCGGGCUGCUGGCAGGGCGGGCGUGCAGGGAGAGGCGGGACGGCCGCAGGGGCCAGCUCUGCGGAGGAGUCGCCUUCUCGGUGGUUAUUGGGAAAGAAGAGAUUGUCAUUUAGAAACCGAAGGGCAGGGAGUGUGAGGGAGAAUAACACAGGAAAAGCAGACGCUUUCCUAGACCAGACAGUGCACGGGGGAGCCCACAAGCUUAACUCAAAGACUUUUCAUUAUAAUUUGUAAAUAAAAAUUAAUUUAAAUUUUAAUUUAAUUAAAAUGGACAAAAUACUGCAAGACAAACAUUUUGAAGACUGGAGUCAACCCUGGCCAGGCAGUCCCUGCAAAGGCCCAGGAUGGGAGGCGUUACGAGGCCAUGUGGGGUUUGUGUUAAAAUGCAGACACUUCUGUGUUUCUCAGAGCCUCUUCACUCCCCAGCCAUCCGUCCCGUGGAUGUGGAAAAUGGCCCAGCGGCUUCUUAAUUGUUGUGAAAACUUAAUUCCCUCACUAGCCAAGAAUUAACAAAAGUAGCAUAAAAUAAGAUGGGAUGUCCCGGGCGCUUCCCGAACAUGGGAUUGUUUCCCUGGGUUUUAGUAAGCAUAGAGUGGGCGAUGGAAAGAAAAACGAAUCUAUUUAUCUCUUAAAGCCAGAUCAGAGGUAAAAUAAUUCACUUAAAGAUGAUUAAACCAAAGGAAUGACAGGUAUUUGAUAAACAUGCAGGAAAGAGUGGGCUGAAUUGGAAAGGAAAAGACAAAUAUUUGGAGGAGAGAAAUGCAGGUCAAGAUCUUCUCAAAGCCCCUCUGGUUCGGCUGAAAUAGACCCCCGUGAAUGUCCAAUAGGAUUAGUUCCAGCUUGCCAGUUUCUAGAGCAGCAGAGAAACAGGCAGCAGAUACACACCCCCGGGGACCCCUCCAGCUCAGCACCUUUGUUGUCAUGUGCUGGUAACUGAGAAGAAAUAAAUCACUUUUUUGGUCCCCAAGACUUUAGUUACCUAAUCCACUCAUUUAUUUAUUUUUUUUCCCUGAAAAAAGGUAAAUUUUAAGUAACAGUGUAUUUAUUCGUUUGGUUCUAAUUCUAGUGAUGACCAAAGCGGCAUUUGAUUUAGAAGACCGUAUCAAAGUGAUCCAAAAACCUGGUGCCCUGUAAUUAAAUGUGCUUUUAUCAAGUGCUGCCUAAUAGACCCCCGACUCUCUCUCAGCUGCCUUAGGAGGCGCCUGGCCUCCCGCAGGCCGUGGAGUCGCUCACCAAGGGCGGGCAGCAGGGUCUCUCUCCAUCCGCUGUGCCCCUGGUCCCCCUGGGUUCCCCACGCCCACGUGGAAGUGGUUCAGCCAUUUUUGGUGUUGCCGUGGUUGGGGCGCUGUGGACAUUUGGGGACGCUCCUGUGAAGCCUGGACAGUCCUAUUCUGAGAAGACUGUCUCACUGAUGCCUCUCGAGCCUCCCAGGGGCCCUGAGUGCGGGUGUGCCAGGACCAGGCCACGUGCCCAACUGUGGUGGCCAAGACGGGCAGCCGGUCCUCAUGGAACUUGAUGCGUCUGCUCUGGGGGGAGGCUGGGUGGUCAGACAUCAUGCAGGACAGGAGGAACGGCAUGAUGCAGGGGCUCGGGCCAGACAGGCCGUUGAGUCCUGUUAGGGAUUUCAUGUUUCGUCCCGAGAGCAAUGGCAGCCACUGACGCAUUCUAGGAAUGGGAGCCAUGUGGCGAGGUGUGCUUCCUUUCCUUCCUCUUCUUUUGAGCGAUUACUUUGGCCGGUUUGUGGACACUGGAUGGGAGGACGCCGAAGUGGAGGCCCUUCAGCAGCAGCCUCGGCUGGCUGAGCCCUACACCUUCCUCUGGCCACGGUCUUUGAUUACGGCUCAGGGAAAACACUCUGAGUCCCUGCGUGAGCCGAGUGGGUCCCUGGGGCCGGGCGUGUGUGCCUCAAACGUUACUGCACGUCCAACGCCUGGUGCGGACCGGCACCCUGCCUCUCUAAGAAGCCCCCGGUGAUGUGUACGCCGCUGGUCCAGGGCCCCCACUGUGGAGGUCUGGAUGAGGGGACUGUUCCGGUUCUCGCGGAAGUGCGCUGCAGCCUCACUGUUUUACAUCAGGAGUUCUUGAGCGCGCUUUAGACUUGCUACAGGAACUCAGACAAAAUAGACUGAUGGAGACAAAGUCCCUGGGGACCCCGCCUGCCUGCAGCCUCAGAACUGCACCACGUCUGGUCUUGGUCACAAGCAGGGACGUUGUAACCCACAGGUCACAUUCCAGUUCACAAAGCCGCGUGGUUCUCUUGCAUCAGAAAGAUCCCAAAGUCAGCGGGUGCUGUGCUGCGGUAAGACGAUCAGGAGGGGGAGGUCUCUGUUCUCGUUCUCUGUUGGCUAAGUCUUUUUAAAGCAAUAUAAACCGUUAACUGUAAAAAAUGCACAGGAUUCAAUGAAAAGUCUGACAUGCUAGAGAGCAAGUACUCAAUGUUCAAAACACGUUAAUUGUAUCAUGUCUGUGAUGGUUUAGUAGUAUCUCAAGAGGGAAGAUUUCGCUUGAGAGGGGAAUGGAUGUGUGUGUACAUGCAUGUGUGUAAAUGUGUAUACAUUUGUGUGCACAUGUGUACAUUUGUGUUUACACAUGCACACUCAUAAGUGUAUGUGCAUGGUGUGUACACAUGUGCAUAUCUGCACAUGAUUGCAUGCGUAUGGCAUGUGUGUACACACGUAGAUGUGUGUGCAUUCAUGUGUACACCCUGUAUGUGUGCACAUGUGUGUACUAGUGCGUGUGUGUGUGAUUAUGGAUGAGGAAGUAAUGAGGGGGCCCUGCUGGGGUUGUAUUGGUGAGAGUGAGGGUUACUUAGCGUCCUCCUUGUGAGAAGCCCCAGAUGCUUUGAUGGUGUUAUUUCAGAUCCGCGCACAGCUGCCGAGGGAGAGUAGGCUGAUGGGUGUCUCGUCAUCAUUUUGGUGGGUGGUGAAGUCAGGGGCUGGGUGAGGUCACGUGCCCGGAGUAGGGCCAGGCUGGAGGCUGUAUGAGCACGAUGGCAGCCCUGCCUCCUCGGCCGUCUCUGAGGAAGCUCCGGUGCUAGCCAGCCUGUGACUGCUGCUCCGCGAUGUUGCUCGUGUGGCAGGGCGGCGUCUGCACACUUGCUCGUCAAAACGCCGUGGAGCGGGCUGCCACCACUCAGCAAUUAGCCUCGGGGGCGCUGUGCCUGGUUCCUGCGCAGGGACCUCAUGCUCUCAGUCAGCGGGACAGACAGCUCUGAGCGGGCGGUGGCAGCAGACCCACGGCCUCUGGGUGAGCUCCUGGAACACUCGUAAAAGAAUAUUAGUCUGGGCGAGGGCUUCAAUCAGAGGAGCGACGUGAGUAUGUGACACAGAGAGUGGUAGAUUCAUGAAAAAUAACUGCUCUUUUUUUUUUUAACUUUUUAUUGAGAUUAUGAUAGUUUACAGCCUUGUGAAAUUUCAGUUGUACACUAUUGUUAGUCGUGUUGUGGGUACACCACUUCACCCUUUGUGCCCUGCCCCCAUUCCCCCCUUUCCCCUGGUAAUCACCGAUCAGUUCUCCUUGUCUAUAUGUUAACUUCCACCGAUGAGUGGAGUCAUAUAGAGUUCGUCUUUCUCUGUCUGGCUUAUUUCACUUAACGUAAUACCCUCAUGGUCCAUCCAUGUUGUUGCGAAUGGGACGAUUUUACCCUUUUUUAUGGCUAAGUAGUAUUCCAUUGUAUAUGUAUACCAUCUCUUCUUUAUCCAAUCAUCAGUUGCUGGGCACUUAGGUUGGUUCCACAUCUUGGCUAUUGUAAAUAAUGCUGCGAUGAACAUAGGGGUGCAAGGGACUCUUGGGAUUUCUGAUUUCAGGUUCUUAGGAUAGAUACCCAGUAGUGGGAUGGCUGGGUCAUAAGGUAUUUCUAUUUUUAACUUUUUGAGAAAUCUCCAUACUGUUUUCCAUAGUGGCUGUACCAGUUUGCAUUCCCACCAACAGUGUAUGAGGGUUCCUUUUUCUCCACAGCCUCUCCAACAUUUGUUGCUCUUGGUUUUGGAUAUUUUUGCCAAUCUAACGGGGGUAAGGUGAUAUUUUAGUGUAGUUUUGAUUUGCAUUUCCCUGAUGAUUAGCGAUGAUGAACAUCUUUUCAUGUGUCGACUGGCCAUAUUUAUAUCUUCUUUGGAGAAAUGUCUGUUCAUGUCCUCUGCCCAUUAUUUGAUCGGGUUGUUUGCUUUUUUGUUGUUAAGCUGUGUGAGUUCUUUGUAUAUUAUGGAGAUUAACCCUUUGUCGGAUAAGUGACUUGUAAAUAUUUUUUCCCAAUUAGUGGGCUGUUUUUUUGUUUCAAUCCUGUUUUCCCUUGCCUUGAAGAAGCUCUUUAGUCUGAUGAAGUCCCAUUUGUUUAUUCUGUCUAUUGUUUCCCUCAACUGAGGAGUUAUAGUGUCCGAAAAGAUUCUUUUGAAACUGAUGUCAAAGAGUGUACUGCCUAUAUUAGUAACUGCUCUGUGUGCUCUGGAAUGUGAAUUAGAAUUGGAUCCUCUCUUGUAAAUAACACACACAGAAUGUUAUGAUGAAAUAUUUCAGGCAGAUAUGCAAAAAGCAAACAUGACAUUACGAACACCUGUGUGCCCACCACUAACCGUCACAAUAACUGUGAUAGACGGUCCCUCUCAGUCUCUACUCUCCUUCCCCAGAGGUGACUGCUGUCCUGAAUGGACUGCUUCUGAGAGCAAUAUGCAGUACUGACAUGCAGUGGAAAGGCUACGUAAGUAGCAGCCUACUGUGUAACUGUUGUUGUGUUUCUUGGUGAAGGCUCGGCGUGCUGUUUUAAAGACAUCUGUGGUGGUAUGCAGCUUCAGCUUGCUCCUGUCACUGCUGUCUAGUCCACCAUCUAAUGGACGUGCCACAGCUUGUCCUCCCGUCAUCCGAUUGACGGACAUGUGGGUAGUUUCCAACUUUCCGGUGUUAUCAACAGUGCGGAGGGCGUAGCUUCGCGUGUGUUUCCUUGUGCACGUGUACCAGUAAGUCUCGCCGGGUAGACAACUAGGAAGAAUUGUUAGAUCUUAGGGAUGCACUCUUCAGCUGUUCUAAAUAUUGCUAGCUGUUCUCUAAAUCCUCGCAUGAGCCUCAGCGCCGACCGCGGUUUGCUCCACAUCCUCGCCGGACCAUUCUGUACUCUCCUCUGUUAAAUGAAGCCCCUGGCAGGAUGAGUAACAGUCUCUUACCAACUGUGGACGCCAAGCACUAUCCCAGUCCACACUGAAGGCUGGCGGCUCAUGGAAAAGGCAACUCAUGAGCAGACUACGAUACUCGAACUGACAACAACAAAAGAUCCUAGGCCACGUGGCUGCUGUGCUCUCUUCCAAGACAGUUCACAUGGUGGGAAAGAAUUAGGACUGUCAUCACUCCAAGUUCAUAUCAUCUAUAGAAACAUCCUAGGAAAAACUACCUUGGCUAUAAAUAUACUUAAAUACAGUCACAUUCUCUGUGGGGACGUUACAGUUCACCAGGCUAAAAGGAGUUUCUGCGGAAGCUUCGUCCCCUUGGUGAUAAAUUUUCCUAUGAAUAAAGAAUACCGAAGGGUUGAGCGCAGAGUAGUAAGAUCAAUACCCUGGUCACAUAAAGUGCCUCUCCAAUAAUGUAGCUUCAGGAGAUAACCUUGAAAACACCUUUUUACCAGUGGCAUCGACUGGGAGAUGUGUAAACAUCUUCUUUAGAAAGAGCCCAUGAAACAUGUGAGGUUGGAUUUUUAAGUUCCUCCUUCAAUGGCAUAGUCUCUUUCCUGUUCUCAUUUCACAUCCCCAAAUUAACAAAAGGCUUUCCUAUGCAGCUAACCUGUGCAGAACCCAAAUGACGUCCACUUAGCAUUAAUUGAGCACUGUCCGUAUGCCUGGCUUGAGUAUGUGUGGAGCGGUGGUGAACCCUGGCGCAUCUGCUCAAGUAGAGAGAGGAGGAAGACCACUCGAGGACACUUGCUCAUGUCACCCAAAGGGCUGAGGGCACUACCGGAGCUGUGUCAUGGGCCGGAUCCGAAGGGAGUGCAGCAGUAGGUUGGCCAGGGGGAGGAGGAGAAGGAGGGAAUAUGGUAAUGGUGGGAUGAACGCGGAAGGCAGGACAUGUUGGGGAGCUGGCUGGCCUGGAGCAGAGGGCCUGUUUGGGAAGUCAUAAACAUGAGGACGUCUAUAGAUGGGGAAAGAGAGGCGAGGUCCCCGGUCUUUGGCUUCCAGGCUAGUCUUUACCUCUUGGGGGAAGAAGUUGAUCUUUUGCUUUCAUGGAUCCCCAUCCCAGAGCAGAGGUGGGGUCUAUGUCCUUCUCCUUGACCCUGGGUGGACCUUUGUGACUUCUAGGGCAGCAGAGUAAGGUGAACCCUUCAGUUGUGGUUGAGCAUCCCAGAUGGAGCCACAUAGAUUGGACUAGCCAACCCCACCAAGCCCUGCCCAGACGAUACGUCAAUCAGCAAAGUAAAUUUCUGAGGUUUUACUAAAUUUUGGGAGGUUUUAUUACAUAGUGAUAGAUAACUGAUAAAACACCCUUAAAAGACCUGACAACCUCAUCUUGGUCCCUUUACCCACCUCUACUUGCCUCUCCAGAGGAGGAGAGGAGUGUACGUUUAGAGGUUUGUGGGGUGGUAGCUGCUCUCCUAGCAGCAUGGUCUACAGGAACCCACUAAAGUGGGGAGCUGACCAGGUGCCUGGUGAUGGGCUCAAGCCACUGGCCAGGCAGUAGUGACACAGGAACACACAGCUCAGGGACAUAUCACUCUCUUCUAGAGCCUAGAAUCCAGGGCUCGCCAACUUCAGUUUUCUAAACCCCAACACGUUUUAGAUAGAGAGAAACUUAUGAUAGUGUUGGCGAUGCACUGCCAAGACUCGGGGAGAAGCCCCCUAGAUUCUAAUUGUCCUUCCUGCACGGGAGCACCGUCUCCCACUGUGGAAGGGGUGGGUCCUUCGUCUGCCGUUGCCUCUGCGAUAGCAGAGCCAUCUCCCCACGCUGGAAACCGAGUUUCCUUAAAUGCAGGAUGAGGCCACAAGAUGCUUUCCUGGGUGUAGGGUGGGAAGGCGGCUGGACACGCAGAAGAACCAGGCUGGCUACAUUCUGAGCCCAAAGUGAAGCCUCAUUUGCUUUGAGAGGGUUUGUGGAGGUUCAGGGCUUCUUACCCCUGAAGAGGAAGAUGCUCCAGGGUAGAGCCUUGCUCCUCAGACUGGGAUCCGAGACCCGCAGCAUCGGAAUCUCCCGGGAGCCGCUAGAGCUGGAGGCAUCAGGCCCCGACCUGCCGAACAAGGCCGUGCCGUGCACAGGAGCCCGGGGAUCCGAGGAGAAGCCGGGCCUAGAGCAGUGGUUCUGAAGGGUUGCUGUGCGGCAGCCUUGCCUGAGUGCCGGGUGAAGCACAGGUCGCGGGGCCCACCUGGGCGUCUCUGAUUCAGAAGGGCUGCGGUGGGACCUGAGGGUCUGCAUUUCCGCCAGGGUCUCCGGUCGAUGCUGAUGCUCUGGUCACAUUUUGAGAGCUGCUGUCCUAGUAGAGAGACGCUGCUCCAUCUCAGCUCACUUUGGAACCCCCGGGAUUUUAUAAAACUCUGGGGCCGGGUGCCGCCCCGAGAUGUCCAGAGCUGGCUGGGGUGGGCUGUGGCCUGGGCAUCAGGAGAUGCGAAGGCUCCCCAGGGAGUGUAACGUUCAGGCUUCACUGAGAACCACUGUUUGGUGUCGUGGUCCUCAAAGCGUGCUGUGUGAAAAAGUGCCACCAACACAGCAGCUUAAAGCACAUUCAGUGUCUCCCCGUGUCUGUAGGUCUGAAGUCCAGGCACACCGGAGCCGUGUGCUCAGCUUGGGGUCUCUCUUACGGGGCUAAGAUCCUGGUGUCGGCCAGCAAUAAUCGCACCUGGAGCUCCGUCCUCUUCCACGCUCAUUCUGGUUGUCGGGAGAGUUGGCUCCUUGAGGCUGUAGACUGAGGCCCGUUUUCUUGGUGGUCAUCUACCCUGUUAAGGCAGCAAGGAGUCUUUCUUCCUCUGACUCUCCCUCCUCAUCUAAAGCCUGGAACCUUUAAGGGGUUCAUCUGAUUAGGUCAGGCCCACCCAGAAUAAACAUCGCCUUAAUUAACUCAGAACUAACUGAUUGGGGUCCUUGAUUUCAUCCACAAAAAACUGUCACCUUUCCCCGAGGUAAUGUGACCGGGUCCCACAGGAGUGAAAUCCCAUCAUAUUCACCAGUGCAGGUUGUCAUCACCAGGGGUCAGGGGUCUUGGGGGUCAUUCUGCCAACCACAUCAAACCAGCAGCCUCAGCAUCACCUGGGAACUUGUUCGAAAUGCAGACUCUCGGGCCCCUCAGACAUACUGAGUCCAAACCUCGGGGGUGGGGCUGGCAAUUUGUUUUCACAAGCCCCCCGGGGAUUCCGACUUGAGUUCCAGCCCCAGUCAAGGUGGCUUCUGUGCAGAGCACAGACGACAGCAGGGGCCGAGAGCCAGCGGUCUGUGCUAACGUGGUUCACUCACGUCAUCUUGGAGCAGCAAUUUCACGACUGACGUUUCAUGCACGAUGAAACAGGCGAGGGCAGUUGUGUCACAGCUGGCAUUUGACAGAGCUGGCUUCAAACCCUGACCUGGCUGCUUCCACGGGGCGAGCUCCUCAUGCCUCCACCGCUUCCCCAGAUCGCUGGUCAUCCAGGAGCUGAGUCGUCCUGUAGAGGCCUGUUGCAGGGCUGCGGUGGUGGUCACCAGCCAGGGUCCCACCUUUCCAGGGCUGAGGCUGUGUUGGCCUGGCCCCGUGUGUAGGGAGCUGACAGAGGGAACCCAGCACCGCCACGCCCUGAGUCACCCAGGGGCUGUCCUCGUAGAGGGGAGGCCAAGGUGGCCUGCAGCCGAGGCUUUCUAUUUGCUGCUUUUGUCUGUCUGUUUUGAUGGGCUGUGCACUGUUCUGGUGAUGAGGGCCAAAACUGGUUUACCUUGAUUCUGGGUGGCAUCCUGGCUAAGUCAUUCACUAUGCAAACACAAGCAAGUCACUUAAUCUUCCUCAGUCUGUUUCCUCAUCUGUAGAAUGGGGCCAACAAUAGCAUUUUUCUUGGACAUUUUUGUAAAUAAUGGAGAUAAUCCACCUAAGUACUUAGGAGAGCGCCACCAAGUAUGCCGUCAAUAAAUUUUAGCUGUUACUAUGAUAAUUUUCAAAUUGGAGAAGCUGUUAGAAACCAUCGUGACCCUGCACUUUACAGAGGAGGAAAAUGAGAAGAUUAAGAGACUGCCCGCAAUUAUAUAAUUAGUGGCAGCGCCUCAACCAGAAUUUUAACUCCAUCCCUCCAUCCGUCAUCCAUCAUCCAUCCUUCCAUCCCUCCCUCCAUCCAUCCAGCCCCCCAGCCAACAAACACCUAUUGAACGUCUGGGUGGUAGGCAUUGUCACUGGUAAUUCCUAGAUGAAAAACUCAUGGUUCCCGGGUUCAAGAUUCUCUUGGCUUAGGGGGUAAGAGCUUAUAAAUCGGUAAUUAUAAUGCCAUGUGAGAAUUACGCUGACGCAGGCGUACACCGGAUCCCCAGGAAAGGGGAGGGCUGCUUCUCCAGCCUGUGAGUGGCGGGAGGAGGGUUAGGAGUGGUCUUCUAGGCCUUAGAGGAUGAAAGGGUAUUAACUUGGGCAAGGAGGGUGUUCUUACCCCUGCAAAGUCUGCUCCUCCGUCUAGCCUCAGCAUCCCCUGGGAGGCUGUUAGAAAUGCAGACUCCCACGCUCCACCCCAGGCCUCCUGCCUCAGAAUCCACAUUUUCACGAGAUUCCCAGGGGAUUUGUGUACCCUUAAAGUUUACCAAGUUCUGCUCCACAUCGUAAGACGUGUUCCCUCUCACUCCCAGCUGUAUCUGUAGAAUACAAGUGCUUUCCAGAAUUCCGAUACAAAAUCUUGUUUUCUCCAUAGUUAUUGAGGGUGGAUGCAUGGUCUCCGCCCUCGUCUAACGUCUUGCCUAAAGCAUCACAGAGCACAAGGGCGGCACUGUGCUUCCUCGGCGUGUGGCAUCCAGAGAGCUGGGCUCACACAUUAAAUAAGAGCAGUGACAGUUUAUAAGCAGACCCAGGGCUUAGUCCUCAUGAAAAAUGCUGUGAAGAAUAUAUCAACUGAAUGGGCUCUGCUUCCUUAACCUUGGCGAGAAUACUCUCCCUAAGGAGAGGAAUGCCUUAGCCUUUGGCAACCAUGAUCACCAUGUCUGGGGGGGUGAGGUUCUCGCAGCCUUGCCUUGUCUUUGGGCUGCGUUGGUCCAUGUUCUGGAGCCCCGGCUGGAUGCUCAGAGCGCCGGGCUGCUGUCUGUGACCGCAGUCCUUGCAGACUCACCUCGCUUUGGGCUGAAGAGCUCAGGCCGCCUCCAGGCUGCAUGCAGACCCUGCUCUAAUUAGAGGGCGACCAGGGCGUGGCUGAGCAGUGCUGUGGGAGGAGCCUGUUUGUUGCAUUGUUUUUGCAGUGUGACAAUGAGACACAUCUGCCGAAUGUUCCCAUCUCUGACUCAUUUCCUCUGGUGACAAAUACGUUCCCCGGAGUGUGGUCUGACCCUCAUGGCCUUCCUCCGCAACCCUGAGCCCGUCCCUGCAUUGUCACGGGAACAGACUCCCGUCUCCCUCACCCUUCAGCUGUUGGCCUUCACCUGGUCUUGACAGGUGCUUUUGGAAGAGGGGGGAAGAGGCACGGGGAGGGCGGGCAGGCGGCUGACAAUGUGAAGUUGUGACCACACUGACGUUUCACUUUUACCAAAGAGCAAAUCCAUAAUUAAACCAAGAACAAAGCAGCAUCGCUAAAGAAAUCCCGUUAAGUCCAACUUCUCUUCUCACUGGAUGUACUGCAUUUGAAUCUUCACUCCAGACCUCAUUCAUGAAUUCCAGACUUGCUUUUCUUUUCUUUUUAAAGAUUGGCCCCUAACAACUGUUGCCAGUCUUCCUUUUUUUUUUUGUUUUUUCUUUCUGCUUUUUCUCCCCAAAUCCCCCCAGUACAUAGUACAUAGUUGUGGAUUCUAAUUGUAGGUUUUGCUGGUUGUGCUAUGUGGGAUGCCGCCUCAACGUGGCCUGAUGAGUGGUGCCAUGUCCGUGCCCAGGAUCCCAACCAGCAAAACCCUGGGCCUCUGUGGCGGAGUGUGCGAACUUAACUACUUGGCCACGGGGCCGGCCCCGAGACUGGCAUUUCUGUUUCUAAUGUGGGAGAAGUUGAGUUGGUGAUUUGCUGUCACCCCCAAAAUCAAUUCAAAGCAGAGUCAUAACUUCCUCCUGCGAACCUGCUUCCUCUCUUCCCGAUUUCACCGGGCGGUGUCUCUAUUCUAGCCGGGUCCUGGAAGACAUCUUAAAUGCCUUCUCUCUCCGUCCUAACCACCACAUACCACUGCCAACUCCUGUCAAUUAUACUGUCUUCAGAUACACCAAAAUCCAAAAACUUUAUUUCAUCAUGUUCUAUUUCUCCUCGUUAUAAAUGUGACACGGGUUUACAGCAGAGCUGUUACAGAGUAUAAAGACGGUAAAGAAGUAGAUGACAAUGACCCGUAACCACUGUUGGUGGUGGUGGUUGUGUUUCCUUCUAGUCUGCCUUCUGCUGUGAGAAGCUUCUUCCCACUUGUCUGUUUCUAUGUGAGCAAUUGCCCCUGAGUGUCUCUCCUUCCCUCCCACCGUGGCCUCUGCCUCCCCGAGUCCUGCAUUUCCUGACGGCGUUCCUGCGACAGCCCCUCACCAGCCUCCCUGUCUGUGUUCCAACCCUGUUCCAAGUCCGGCCUCUGCCGCACUGUCAGCGUAGGCUUUUGAAAAUGAAAUUCUCACCCUGUCGAUCAGUCCCUGAUGGAAAUCACGCCCCUUCGUCCUCCACCAGGCAGGGUCCACAUUUGCAUCACGGUGUGGAGACAUUUUGGAGCCAGUCCUUCCUCUCUUUCCGGCCUCAUCUUUGUGCUCUCAGGCACGUUCCCUCUGCUCCAGGGGGCCUGUGGUGUGGAGCUCCCUGCAUGGAUCCCUGCAUUCUCCUCUUGCUGAGUCGUUCAUUGCUUCCAUCUGGAAUGCCCACCCGGGCUCCCCUGAAAUCCAGCCCCUGCCCCUACACCUCUGUCUGCAGGAGAGCACCCAUGGGUUCUUCCAGGCUCAUCUGUUCUGUGAGUCCUCUUCUGUCUGGUGCCACGGAGACCCUUGCCCACCCCAUGCCAGCAGCCUUUUGCUGACCAGACCGCCUCCCCAGGGGACGCAUUCGUCUUUAUAUCCCCAGCACUUGGCUCUGUGCCUCCACAUGGUGGAGCCUCAACAAACGUUUGCUGAAUGAAUAAGUGAGUGAAUGAAUGAAUGGGAUCUGAGGCUUGGUGGAAGUCGUUCUUUGGAUCACCAGAUAUAAUCCAUUUUCUGUUGCUUCAAAUUUCAGUCACUCAUCACCCUGGGGUCAACUUCUCUCUGUUCCCAUCUUCUUUUUUCAGAACAACAUUCAGGAUUCCUAAACUGUAUCUUGAUGAGUCCCUUGGCAAUCUGGCCAAGAUCCCAGCAUCCUCUAAGAACUCACUGAUAACUCACACUCUGCUGGGCCCUGCUCUUCUGUUGUCAGCUGAGGUGCCAGUUAGUGACUGGCAGUUGCGAAGCCCUCACAGCAACAGAAUGAGGCCUCAAGUAAUAAGACAGUAUUGACUUCUGUUGAGAACACGCAUCAGAUGUAUUGAUCUGAAAACUAAAUGUUGACCAAGGUAAGGCUACGGUCAAUAUUUCACCUUGAAGGACAACACGCUUCAAUGGUUCGCAGAAAGAUGUAUUCUUCCACACAUUUUGAAUGCCUCUAUUAGCGGUGGCUGAGAAGUAGUUUGUGUGCUUAUAACCCACGGCGAGAGUCGUCACUGUUGUGCUCACAUCUUCUAGGAAGACUCUUUGCGCUUGUGCUUUCCAGCCCUCCAUGGCGAGGACCGAGCUCCCUGGGCCAGGUGCACGUGCUGUCCACGUUGCUAUGCUAAUCACCCCAGGAAGCAGCCUGGCACUUUCUGUUUUAAGAUAAAAGGGCCAGGUUCUAAGGGAACCAGGAUUGAGCGAGCCGAUCUAGGACCCCUAGGGUGAAUAUUCAAGUGGGUCAUUUCAAGGUCAAGUGGACACUACAUCGACAUGAUUUACAUUUAAAUAUCAUGCAGGUGAAAGUUUGGCAGCAUGUGACACUGUCUCUAUGGUGUGUAUGAAGCCAGGAUGGACCAGGUGUGUGCCCCGUGAGGAGAAACGUUGGGCCUACGGGACACAUGGUGGCCAUCGGGCUCUGUGGAGUUUUCCCCAGGGUUGGGCUGUGCCUCCCGUGGGUCCUCAGCUGCCUGGCGUAGGAGGCGGGCUCUUGGUGAUAUAGUGCAGACUUACCCGAAGUUUGCAUCCUAGAGGUGACGUGAGUGCUGGAGAGCAGGGCUGGCCUCACUGUCUUUCGAGGGGGCACAGGACCUGCAGGGCUGUAGCCAACGGGAAGGGAGGCUGGUGCCCCGUUCUGCACUCUGUUCUUCCUUGAGCGGUACACCCGUCUCUGCUCGCGCUCCUGUUCUGAAUUCAUCCUCUGUUCUGCCUUUCUCGACUCCAACUUUCCCAGGAGCACUAGAAGGUACUGAUUACCCUGAUUUCAAUGGAGGGCACCACCUCUGGGGAACGUUUCAGACAUCCGGGGGUACCCACAGUCCCUACGCGGAUGGGGAGGGUGCCGCUGGCAGCCACUAGACAUUCUGUGAUGCACGGGACAGUCCCGCACAAUAAAGCUGGCCCCUGUCCCAUGCAGCUCUCAUAUUCCUUCAUGAAGGUGAAAACCCUGUUUCUAGGGAUCUGAGUCCCAGACCAACUUCUUUUCCAUGGCAUCUUCCAAGGCAUUUUUACAUAGUUUUAGUAUAUGCUAAAUCUUCCAGAAAUGCACACAUGCUUAAAAUGAGGGAAAGUUAUUCUUUGUGUUACUUGGAGCUUUACCAAGAACUGGUCACCGUUUCAGAAAGUCACCUCAGUGCUGAGAGCACCACUCACCUCUGGGUCACCGCCCGCACGUCUGCCUCUGCUGACUUGUCACGUUCACAGUGGUUCCAACGUCAGCACACACGUGGGAUGACUUCACUACGCCUCCGUGUGGUUCUGCCCAGGAACUCACAGGGGGAACACAGAUUAUGUCUGUUAUGGUAAUCUUCCUUUUCAUGCUCUUAGGGCGUUAUGUUGAUGUUUUGAAACUGUGAUUAAUCAGGGUAGAUUUUAUUAUUUAUUUAUUUCUUUUGAAAUAGGAGAUUAUUAAAAAAAAAAAGUUAUAAAAAAGGGCAUUGGACCUGGUUGGGCUGAGACCCACUGCACCCUCUUGUGUGCGGAGGAUGGUCGCAUCUGCUUCUUGACCUUGUGCCCUUUACCCACCUCUUUCUGGAACUUGGAAUCUGUCCAGAGCGAGUCGGGCAGGACACUGCUUUUGGGGUUUGAUUCAUUUUUAGGUUCUUCUUGUAACUUUGCUCCACUCUUUCCUAGGUCUCUUUCCUCUUUUCAAAUUCCUACCUUCACUCUCUCACUCAAAUCUAUGAUGAAAUGGUUCUACUCUCCUGUCACGUAUCAUGACAUCAUAUAACAGCUACGGUACCCUCCUUUCAUGUCUGAUGUAGUCACGUCCAUUACCAAAUAAUAUGUAUGUAUAGUUUUCCUCUGGGUUUUGUUUAUAGUUUCAAGCACUUAUUCUCUGUUCUAUUGACCUUAUCAUUCAAAUUAUGUCAAUUGUAAGAAAUAUAUGUCUGUAGUUUAUGACCUAAAUCAGAAUUUUAAAUCAGACUUCACAAUAAAGAGGCAACAAUGUAAGCUGGCUGAUUCAUUAUAAAAUUGCCUCUGAUUUUACUCUUAUAUGUAGCAGUGGAUAUUUUUAACUUAAAAAUGCUUCUUUUGAUUCAUUUUUUUCUUUCAAAGCAUAUAAGGUCUUUGUAACGUAUCUCCUGUAAUUAUCGAGACAGUAGGCUGUUUGGGUCUGUGAAUUCUGGUUGUCAGUAAAUAGUGCCCUUUUCAACCUCCGAAGCCUGUUUUCCUUUGUGCGUGGUGGUGGAGAAGCACACUGCAAAUAGAGCAGAGAGAGGAGUGUGGGCCGGGCGGAGUGGAAGCCCAGAGCUGGAGGAGGAUUGCGACACCACAGCCACUUGCUGGAGAAGCCAAUUCGUGUCGUUCCCAUCCUCUAUCAUCAAAAAGAGAAAAAACCCUCAGUCUCAUUCCCUUCGCUUUUCCCGGGAAGGAGACCAUUAUGCACAAGAACCAGAGCACCGGGAGGCUGCAGGCAGGAGCACACUGCUUCUAGAUGGCCUCCUUCGAUGUCGGAAACCCGGGGGUUUGACUUGGGCCUCCUCUUUAGCAGAUAAUGCCCCAGGGCCUCCCACGUCCUUGAGCUGGGCAGGGCAGCCAGAGUGCAGAGUAGAAGGGGGCAAUUCCCCCCACAAGUUGUGCCCCAGGUCACACAGUGUGGUAAAUGCAGAGAGAGGCACAGUGGGGGUUUCAAUAAUGCGGCUCAGGAGCCCAGGAGAAAAGACCAGAACCAGGAAGGUCAGCAAAUGCACCACGCAUCGGCUCCUGGGUUCCUGAACUGAUUUUAAAGAUGAGCAAGACUUUGCACGCAGAGAAGUAGGAGUGGGAAAGCCCUACCAGGCCACGGGAACAGCACAUGCCAAGGCUUGGUGUCCUGAGAGGGGUAGGUGCUCUCUGGGUGAGUGGCAGGAAGGCUGCGGUGUGUCAGGGGAGCAGUGGGGGCUGAAUCUGGAAGGUGGGCUGGACCAGGUCGGAAAGAGUCUGGUUGCCAGGAUAAGGGGUUAGACAUCUUGUGGGCAGCUGGGGGCCUACGGAGCCCUUGUGUCCUUCACAGAAGGUAACGGCCGCUGUGCUGCGGGGAGAGCCGUGUGGAGGCCUCGGGGGGCUGAGACGAGGGAGCUAGACCUGGG